CGAAAAGGGAAAAAGGAUGGCAACUGAUUGCCAUCCACAGAGGGAUGGGCCGGCUGAGGGCUCGCCCAGUCACCCACAGUGGGAUCCUUGCAUCGUGUGACUGGCAACAGCUCCCCUGCAUCCCUCGUCCAUCCCGCCCGGUCCCGCCCCUCACGCCGGGCCCCGCCCCUUCACGGGCCCCGCUCUUCACGCACGUCGCGACGCGCCGCCCGUUUCCGCCGGCGGGCAGCCUAGGCGGUUGCGUCCUCGGCGUCUUCCUCCCGCUCCCGCUAACUCCUUCUCUGCUCCGCCCGCCUCACUCCUUUCGGGGCGGUUGGGCCACGAGCCUGUGGGGCUAGGCCCGGAGCCAGUAACGGAGCCUAUGGGGCCCGGACGGGCUGCAGCGGCUGUGGAGGCGGAAGGAGGCGGUGGCAGCAGAGGAGGGAAGAUGGCGGCGCCCGUCUUGCGGAGAGUGUCGGUGCCGCCGUGGGAGCGGGUGGCCUAGUACGCCGGGUGCGGUUCCUGCUCUCCAUCUACGCCGACCAUGUGGAGCGGGAGAAGGAGCGGGACCUCGAGCUCUGGGCUCUCUUCAAUCUGGAGCCCUAGGUGAAGUGCUCCACCGCCCUUGCGUCCAGAAUCCUUGCCCAGAGUCCAGUGCCUCCUUCCUGUCCAGGACCACCUUCUGGUGCAUCACAAGGCUUUCGCUCUGUCCGAUGGAAUAGAAGAGAGGCCUCAGAAGUAAUGCCACACAUCUACAACCAUCUGAGUUUUCACAAACCUGACAAAAGCAGUGGGGAAAGGAUUCUCUAUUUAAUAAAUGGUGUUGGGAAAACUGGCUGGCCAGCUGCAGAAAGCUGAAACUGCAUCCCUUCCUUACACCUUAUACACAAAUUAACUCCACAUGGAUUAAAUAUUUAAACAUAAGACCUAACACCAUAAAAACCCUAGAAGAAAACCUAGGCAGUACCAUUCAGGACACAGGCAUAGGCAAGAACUUCAUGACUAAAACACCAAAAGCAAUGGCAACAAAAGCCAAAAUAGACAAGUGGGAUGUCAUUAAACUCCAGAGCUUCUGCACAGCAAAAGAAACAGUCAUUAGAGUGAACUGGCAACCAACAGAAUGGGGAAAAUUUUUGCAAUCUACCCACCUGACAAAGGGCUAAUAUCCAGAAUCUUACAAGAAAAUACAACCCCAUCAAAAAGUGGGCAGAUAUGAACAGACGCUUCUCAAAAGAAGACAUUUAUGCAGCCAACAAACAUGAAAAACAGCUCAUCACUGGUCAUUACAGAAAUGCAAAUCAAAAUCGCAUUGAGAUACCAUGUCAUGCCAGUUAGAAUGACGAUCACUAAAAAAUCAGGAGACAACAGAUGCUGGAGAGGAUGUGGACGAACAGGAACGCAUUUGCACUGUAGCAGUAGUGUAGGUUAGUCCAGCCACUGUGGAAGACAGUGUGGCAAUUCCUCAAGGAUAUAGACCUAGCUAUCCCAUUACUGAGUAUAUACUCAAAGGAUUAUAAAUCAUUAUAUUAUAAAGACACAUGCACAGGUAUGUUCAUUGCGGCCCUGUUUACAAUAGCAAAGAGUUGGAACCAACCCAAAUGCCCAUCAAUUACAGACUGCAUAAAGAAAAUGUGGCACAUACACACCAUGGAAUACUAUGCAGCCAUAAAAAAGGAUAAGUUUAUGUCCUUUGCAGGGACAUGGAUGAAACUAGAAACCAUCAUUCUCAGAAAACUGGCACAAGAACAGAAAACCACUGCCUAUUCUCAUCAGUGGGUGUUGAACAAUAACACAGGACACAGGGAGGGGAACAUCAUACACCAGGGCCUGUCGGGAGGAGAGGAGGUUAAGGGAGGGAUAGCGGGGGUUUGGGGAUUGGGGAGGGUAACAGGAGAAAUACCUAAUGUAGAUGAUGGGGAUGGAUGCAGCAAACCACCAUAGAACAUACCUGCACGUUCUGCAUAUGUACCUGAGAACUUAGUAUAAUAAAAAUAAGAUGCAGUCUUGUUGUGCUGCCCAGGUGGUUCUCAACUGGGCUCAAGCAACCCCAAACUCCCAAGCAGCUGGGACUAUAGGUGUAUAUCACCACACCCAGCUAUUUUUUCUACAAUUUUUCAUACUAGUCUCACUACAGAACCAGUAAUAUAAGUAGAGGAACAAUCUCUCCUACCAAGUAUAUAAUACCCAAGUAAUAAGUGUCCAGGAGAAACAACUCAAUGCUAUUUGUUGUACAGUUUUUCAACUGACAGGUGCCAGGGAGAUUCCAUGAUUCCCACAAGUAAUUUGUUCCACUGAGGGUUUAUACUGGCAAAAAUACAGAUGUCACACUAGUACGACUUAAAAGUCAAAGUAUUAGUAUUUGUCUAAUUAAACCUUAACCAGAUUUCAUAUUUUCUCUACUGGAGAAAGCAUUUCCUAAUGUGUUGCUCUGUAUCUUCCAGUCCAUUUUUGUUCAGCCCCCACCCUGUCACAGUACUUAUCAAUCUUUUGUUAGUUACCAAUGUUAAAUACAUUUUUUUCAUCAACUAGACAGAUGUCUAUGGUUUUCUCUGACCAACUUUCCAUAACCAUCUUAAUAACUAAACCACUGCUAAAUUUUAAAAGUAAAUACUAUGCAAAAGUUGAGAGAAUAUUUGACACGAGACCACUUUGCCUUGGUAGCAACAGGCCGUCGUCAUCUGGUUUAGGGCAUGAAUCCACACACAGUUUUGGAAAAUGCUGUAGAGCAAAAAUAUACAAUAAAAAUGAUCAAGUUGAUUUUUUUUUUUACAAAUUUUUUAACUGCCAGUUCAUAUUCAGCUUCCCCCUCCAAGAAACAAGAAUACAGUCUCAGAAAAGGUCAGCCAUCUGUGUAUUAAGUAACAUUUGAUACAAUUAAAAUAUGGCCUGUGUUCUAAAAAUAGAUUUUGGUUACCUAUUUCUGCCUCCAGCUGUCUAAGGCUAUAAAAUAUUCAAUGAAAACUGACCUUGAGCUCCAUAACAAAAAGUGACAGCCAGUAUAUUGGCAGUGCUUGACAAUACUGUACCCUCACAAAUUAUCUGUCCUGCAGCAGGACAUGAAAUUCAAUUAAAGGAACCUUAUGACCUAAAACAAGGUAGAAAGAUCCACUGUCUCUUGUCCUUCAUCUGUCUCUGGUUAAAAGACUAAUCUGUGUCACUUCAAAAUGGCAAUCUUGAUUCCUCAGCACGAAAACCACUUAAGUUCCCAGUGCUUUCCUUUGUCCUCAAAGAGUAAGUACAGAGAAUCCCCUGCUACAUUUGUAAUCCCAACUACUUGAGAGACCCAGAAGUUUGAGACCAGUUUGGAAAACAGCAAGACUCUACCUUCAUAAAAAAAAUUAUGCACACUUGUGUGCAUGCUUUAUUUCUUUAAACUUUAGGACUGAUGCUUUGUUACAAAGCAUUCCUUUGGGAGCAUACCUGAAACCUUAUUAGAAUUAGUGUAAAUUAUACCUACUGGUAUGUGAUUAGUGCAGUAAGAACUCUUACUUCCGUUACUUUGUAUUUUUUUUUUUUUUAAGGCUAGUCAAAUGAAGCAGUGGGAACUUUGUAUUUAUUAAAUGCAAAGAAUAAAUUUAUCAAAAUUUGAUAUCUACAAGUGAACUGCAGUAUACAAGUCAUCGUAGACAAACCAUAUGAGAUUGACUAAAAAUGGUAUUGUUAUCAGAACAGGCGGGAUGAGUGACCAGUGUCAGAGCGUGAUUCUGAAGGGUGGUUACAACAGACUGUACGGUAGUUCCGUUAUCCACGACACAUGCGGAAAAGACACACUUGCCACGUUUUUCUCUGCUCUCACACCACAGAAACAAUCAUCAACAAAGAAGGCUUCCAUGAUCAAACAUGGGGAGGGUUUUUCCCCACCAACAAGCAAGCAAGCAUUUCUGCAGAUGACACAAGCUGGGUGUCCUCUAAAUCAGUUCUCAUACUCUUAUCUGCAGAUAGCAUCAGAUUCCACAGUUAAAGGGCUCAGUCCCAUGAAACUCCCUUUCUACAUCAGUCCUGAGUCUGAAAUUCCAGAACCUCUGACUAACUGGCUUCAAUUUGGGGUUCAAUUGAGGUUCCCAGGACACCCUCUUUGCGUUAAAUUGAUUUGCUGGAGUGGCUCAAAGUACUCAGGGAACACAUUUACCAGUUUGCUAUGAAUGACAUUACAAAAGGUACCGAUGAAGAGAUGCAAAGUGUGGGGGAAGUGGGACAAAGAUUCCAUGCCCUCCCAGGACACACCAUCCUCCAGGAACCUCCAUGUAGUCAGCGAACUGGGAGCUCUCAGCCCAGUCCCUUUGGGUCUUUAUGAAAGCCUUAUUACAUAUGCACCGCUGAUUAAGUAAAUCACUGGCCACUGUGACUGAAAACCUUCAGGCUUUCUCUUCGCCUAGAGUCUGCAGAGUGAGACAGAAGAUCUCAACCCUCUAAUCAAUGUCUUCACGAUAAUGACCAGUUGCCAUCCUGAAUCUAUGUAGGGGCUUCCAGCCAUCAGUCAUUAGCAUACAAAAAGACAUCAGUUUGGAAUACGGUUUUAAGAAUUGUACACCAAGAAAUGGGUCAGCGUCAGUCAAACAUAGAUUUUACAUUUGCAGUUUUUAUUUCUGUGGUUGCAGCUAAUAGUCAACUGUAUUCCAAAAAUAUCACAUGGAAAACUUAAGAAACAUGUCAUAAGUUUUAGUGUGCCAUUCUGAGAAUGAAGCCAUAAGCCCCCUCCAUCCAGACCAGGAUGUGAAUUAUCCCUUUGUUCGGUACAUCCACGCUGCAUAUGCUGUGCACCCAGUCAUCAACACAGUCUCCUGUGGCCAGCCAUCAACGUCAUUAAGUCCUAAAGAUCCAAGGUCACUCACAGCUCGUGAUCUUUUUUCUGACUUAGAUUCAGGGGGUGCAUCCUGGCCUAAUGGCGUUACAAUGCCUGCCUCGUUCACCUCACUGCGUCUCAUUACACAGGCAUCGUAUCACUUCACAUCACAGGAAAAAGGGUGAGAACCACAACAAUGUAUUUUAUUAUGACUUACUGUGCCUAAUUUAUAAGUUAAAUACUAUCAGACAUGUGUAGGAAAAAUGGUAUGUGAUUCAGUACUAUUUGUGGUUUCGGGCAUUUACUGGGAGUCUUGAAAUGUAUCUCCUGCAUUUCAGGGGGAACUACUGCACUUAUUUUGUUGAACACAACACAGCCUCCCUAGCUCUGCAGUUAAAACUGUUCAGGUUAGGAUAAAAUCACUUAUCACCAGAAGCCAGCAAAACAUAGGAAUCAGACCAGGAACAAGGAUCCUUGCAAAGACUUUCCAGCUGCCAGUGGAGAAGAGCUCGAGAGAGAUCACUGUGUUACUCUGGCUAACACUCUUCUGGGGAAGUGCUGGUGGGUUAUUCAGUUGUAGCUAUAUGCUCAGCUCCACGUAUAACAAGGCCCAGAUUCACCUGCCAUGUUACCUCCCACAGAAAGAACUACUGGAAAGAUCACUCCUAUAAGAGCUUAGCCACUCCAAAUCACACCUCACAGUCAGAGAGAAGCUUAGAAACUCUGGGGAGGUGUGGCAGGCCGCCAGGCAGUACUAUCUGAUGUGAAAAAUAUAUCAAAAGAAAACUACCAAUGCCCUCUGGCUACCAGAAUGUGCCAAUGCUUCCCCCUCUCCUCAAAAAACAUUUUUUUAACCUCAUAUAAAGCAAAGUUGUGUGAUUUCCUUGCCAUUCCUCAUGACAGAGAAUCUAGUCAUAGGUGAGUCACGUCAUCACAAUACAGACGGUUUUCAAUUCAUCCCUCAAAGGAAGAGGAUCAGUGAGGAGCAUGGGUAUUUACCUAUAGCAUUCACUGCCUGGUCUUGUUUCCAACUGAAAGUACGUAUGAAGACUUUGUGAUUCCAGUAUUAUAAAGUACAACCUCUUGAAUUUGUUCCCUUCCAAGGAACAGAGAGUCCAUCUGAACCCGCCCCAUAAACCAAGAUGCUCCAGUUUGUGCUGUGUGUAUGCAUGGUGUCAUUUUCCUCAACCCUUUCCAUUAUGUGGCAAAUAUCUACACAAAUCAUGUUUUCUAAAUAUGUAAAGCACCUGUCAUCAGAUCUUACGAUAAAAAAAAAAACAGAAGAAAAUCAAAAGGAUAAAGUAUCUUAAAUGACUACAUUCAAUUACCAUAGAACUUUAUUUUUUAACUAGUCAAAAAUAUAUCCACUGUAUUAUUUCAACUAUAUGACUCUUCUGAAAAAAGUAAAACUAUGAAGACAGAAAAAAUCAGAGGUCGGAGUAGCUAGGAAGAAAUGGGGUGAUGAACAGGCAUAGUAUUGAGAAUUUUUAGGGCAGUGAAACUGUUGUCUGUAAUGUUAAAAUAAUAGAUACAUGUCCUUAUACAUUCAUCCAAAUGUAUAAUGUACAGUAUUAAGAAUGAAGCCUGAUGUCAACUAUGAACUUGGAAUGAUUAUAAUGUGUCAAUGUAGGUUCAUCAGUUGUAACAAAUGUACCACUUUGGUGGAAAAUAGUGGGAGGCAUGGAAAAUAAUGAGAAAUCUCUGUAUCUUCCUCUCAAUCUUGCUGUGAACCUAAAACUGCUCUAAGAAAUAAAGUUAUCGAUCUAGAAAA